CAUUAGUCUUUUGUGAUACAUUUUCAAUGAGUCAGGUUGUUUGGGAAUGCAGCCUAAAUUGGGAGGUAAAUCUCUCCUAAAGCUAAAUAUUUGCGAGAAACCGAUAGCGAACAAGUACCGUGAGGGAAAGAUGAAAAGAACUUUGAAAAGAGAGUUAAACAGUAUGUGAAAUUGUUAAAAGGGAACCGUUUGGAGCCAGUCUGGCUUUCCUAUAAUCAAUCUAGGCUUCGGCCUUGAUGCACUUGUAGGUUAUCGCCGGCCAACGACAAUUGGGAUCGCGAGGGAAAAAACCUUUGGAAAUGUAGCCAUUCUGCAAAGUUUGGUGUUAUAGUCCUUGGGAAAAUACCUUGUGCUCGAUUGAGGAUCGCAGUGAAUGCCUUUCGGGGCAGGAUGUGGUGAGGUAGGUUUGCUUGACCUAAGGUGACUUUCGGGUUGCUUUAGCGAUGGCUUACUCCUUGCUUCUAUCUUUAUUCGCU
rnacentral:rRNA from 1 species